rnacentral:rRNA from 1 species
GACGAACGCUGGCGGCGUGCUUAACACAUGCAAGUCGAACGGGCCUUGUCCCCUUUUUUUUUGGGGGUGGGGUUAGUGGCGAACGGGUGAGUAACACGUGAGUAACCUGCCCCUCACUUCUGGAUAACCGCUUGAAAGGGUGGCUAAUACGGGGUGUUCUGGCCCGCUCGCAUGGGUGGGUUUGGAAAGAUUCGACCGGUUUUGGUUGUUUUGGUGGGGGAUGGGCUCGCGGCCUAUCAGCUUGUUGGUGGGGUGAUGGCCUGCCAAGGCUUUGACGGGUGGCCGGCCUGAGGGGGUGGGCGGUCACACUGGGACUGAGACGCGGCCCAGACUCCUACGGGAGGCAGCAGUGGGGAAUAUUGCACAAGGGGCGCAAGCCUGAUGCAGCGACGCCGCGUGAGGGAUGGAGGCCUUCGGGUUGUGAACCUCUUUCGCCAGUGAAGAAGGUCCUGCUCUUUGUGGUGGGGUUGACGGUAGCUGGGUUAAUGAAGCGCCGGCUAACUACGUG